GCAUAUGUAAUUUUAAAAUUAUUCUACCCUUCAAUUUUAUCAAAAUAUCUAUUCAUAUAUAUCCAUAUUCUUUUAUAAAAUCCUAAUUUCUAACCCUAAAUUCCCAAAUCACAAACCGUAAUUCCCAAAUUGAAAAUCAGAAACCCUAACCUAAUUUCCUCCAACCCUCAGCAGCUGCCAGCCACACUUCCUUACCUCAAUGGUCACACAACACAGAGCAGAGAAAGAGAUUUGCGGGAAGAAGAGAAAGAAAACGUUGCUGCCGUCGCGCUUGACUGCCGCCGCCGUCGUCCUCAUCGCGCACCGCCACCGUCCAGCAGGUCGUCAUGCCGAGCUCGUUCCACCACCGUCAACACUGCCAUGAAGAAGAGAAGACGACGUCAUAACGCGAGCCAAGGCCGAGAGGAAGGGGACGUUGCUGUGCCUUCAACGCGACCGAUCCGCCGCUGCCACUGGUAGGGUUCUGUCGCCGCCGUUCAUGGAGCUUCGAUUAGCGUCACUGUCAUCGCAUACCAGAGGAGAGGGGAGCUCGUGUGUGAAGAGUAGCGCCGCUGUGCCUCCGUCGCGCCUUCAUCACCAUCGAAUUGUCUUGCUGUUGCUAGCCUCAUAGCCACUUCUGAGGCUGCGCCGCCGUGCCUCUGGUCAUGGGUGGAGUCCACUCCAAGCUGUCACCAUCACAGAAUACGCCCAGAGGAGAGGGAGAAAGGAUCUCCACCGCUGUCAAGGUCGCUAGUGAGUCGUGCACUGUCACCAGAGUCUAAAACAGCACCAGCCUUCUUGUUCUGGUUCUGAUAUUCCUAUUCUUGAACCUGUGAUAGUGUCGGUGAUAAUAAAGAACUGUUGGAGUUGCUGCUGCUGCUGCUGUUCCGGCCGCAUUGGCUGUUGUAAACUGGGAAAAAGAAAGGGAUCGUUGCGUUUAAAUUCGACGGUUUCGACUAAUUGAGUGACACAGGUUCGAAGAUACAGUUUGAAGCUGCGGGCGAUUAUAGAAUUUAUUUAUGAGUUAAAUGUAUGAGUUAAUUUGCUUUCAUAGAAUUUCCCUCGCCCUUACUGCUUAAGGUUUUUAUUUUAUGCAGAGGGAUAGGAGUUGUACCUGAAUUUUAUUUAAAUUCUGUUGUAUAAUAUUACUAUUAUUAAUAAUUAUGUGAUUAUUAUUACUUGGUGAUAUUUGCUAUAUGAUUUUAAUUAUCAAAAACAAAAUUUUCUGGUAUUUUUACUAAAAUUGAAUCGCGAUAUCGAACUAGAGGCUCAAUAGUAAAUAGUUAAUAAAGGAAAGCAGGUUGGUAAUGCCUUACUUUUGGUACGAUCAUGACGUUCUAGAAGUUGGGUCGUUACAAUAUGGUAUCAGAGCAGUUCGUUCCUGUUAGAGCCUUGGGAAUGGACUGACUAUGCUUUACUGCAUACUCUGAGUGUCUGUCAUGCUUGUGACUUGUUCUGAUAACAAGAGUUUGUGUUUUAUUUGCAUGACUGUCUGAUAAUUAACACUGUUGGUUUACCAUUGCAUUCCUCAUGGUAUUAGGUCUGGCCAACUUAAUACUAAUGAUUUAUGUGUAUGGGAACACUAAUGGGUUAUCAUAGACGAAAUAGAAGAAUAGGUAAUGCGAUUUACGGGAUUUGGGAGUGUUAGAGGUUAUGAAGUUAGCUUCGAUUCGACGUAUAAUCUUUCUUCGUGCCACAUGAACUCGUGCUAUCCUUUUCUUCGUUGCUUUCAUUGGAAUUCUCAUGUUUGAAUUUCCUUCUUAGAAUGUGAUUUGCUUGUUUCCCAACCAUACUUUGUCAUUCUUGUAUACCUUUGCUUGCCUAUGAAUCUGAUUGCUUAUGUAACUCCUUGAAUAUCCAUCCUUGACAAUGCCUAUACUUCGGUUCGUAUAUUUUGUUUUCUUUUAUUUCAAUUUGGACUUAUUUUAUUCUAACAAUUUUCGA